ACCAAAAUACUUAAAGUUGAAUUAAUUGGCAAGGUGAGAUUCAUGUUAUGUGUUAUUACACCUCCGCACUAGAAAUUUGCGAGUUCUGACAGAAACACUCACCUCUAGCAUGCACUGGGCCAUGACCUGCUAAUGCUCGGUGCCAACAUCUGUCAUAUCUUUGAGUCCAGAUGAACUGAGUGCAUGCACUAAGACGCGCUAGCUAGCUGCAGCUUUCACAUAAGGAGCUUCUACUAAAAAAAAGUAUGCAGCAUGCAUGUUCUCUAUUUCGUUUAUUUUUUCUUGCAUUUUGUACUUUAUGUACUAAUUA
rnacentral:lncRNA from 1 species